GUCUUCUCGUGAUUCUUGGGAAGUCGGACCUGCCCAGUGACAUCUGUUCAACGGCCGCGGUAUAUUGACUGUGCAAAGGUAGCAUAAUCAUUAGUUCUUUAAUAGGGAACUGGUAUGAAUGGUUUGACGAAAUAAUAACUGUCUCAGCUUUAUUUUUAAAAUUUAUCUUUUAGGUUAAAAGACUUAAAUUUAGUUGGAAGACGAGAAGACCCUAUAGAGCUUUAUAUGCUUUCUAUAUAUUUAUUUAUCAUUAAUUUUAUUUAGAAUGUUUGUUUUGUUGGGGUGAUUAUUAAAUAUGAAUAACUUUAUUAUUAAAAUUACAUUUAUGUAUGGGUUUUAGAUCCGAUAUUAUUGAUUAUUAGACUAAGUUACCUUAGGGAUAACAGCGUUAUUUUCUUUUAGAGAUCAAAUUUACAAGAAAGAUUGCGACCUCGAUGUUGGAUUAAGAUAAUAGUUGGGUGCAGUAGCUUAACUAAUAGGUCUGUUCGACCUUUAAAUUCUUACAUGAUCUGAGUUCAAACCGG
rnacentral:rRNA from 1 species